GCCAAGCUAGUAUAGUGGCAGUACGCCGCGUUGUGGCCGCGAUGACCCCGGUUCGAUUCCGGGGCUUGGCA